GAGCAACAUUUGGCACUAGAGGAAGGGCCUUCGACUUAUUUCAAAGUCCUAUUUUGAGAGGAGAGAGCUCAUCACCAGCCACCAUGAAGACACGAAGAGAUGCAUCGAAUGCAUUGCAACACUCCAAUGGCUGGUAGGCCAACAAUGCCCAGCCAACCAAUGCACCACCACCAUCGAUCCAGGAGAACACCCCACCAAUAGCACCGACGGUCUCCCAAGACCAAUAAAACAGCCUUAUCCAACAAGUGCAGGCUCUGUCAACUGCGAUGAGGGGGAU
rnacentral:lncRNA from 1 species